GCAGACACCUCUUGGCUAAACAGGGCACACACAUUUCAACAGACGAGGGCUUGAACUUGUACUACCCAAGCAGAUCUGGGCAAAAGAGCCCUCUCUAAGCUCAAGGAGCCUCCAAAGAUGGCCUUCAGGCCUGAUAUGGUCACCAUGUCAUCAACCUCCACUGUCAUUUCUUCCCCGAUGUCGCUAGAUCUGGGCUCACCAGUCAACUGUUACCAUACACAGCAGGCAAGGGAGGAAGCGACUUGCGACAAGCUCAUCUGCCACCAGAGCUUGCAGCCCUCUCUCUAGCAAUAACCCUCGUCGUCAGUCGGAGGGGCCGGGGAGUGGAGCGGCAGCUGUCGGUGUCCGGUUACCUGGAGCAUGUUGAGGAGCAGGCUCCGGAACUUGGUCCCCUCGACCAUGAAGAGGGCCAUCUUGUCGCAGAGCUUGGCGGCCGUGAAGGCGAAGCUGCGGUCUGACACGGCCUUCUGGUAGAUGGUCCUGACGAUCUCCCCCAGCAUCUCCUCAGAGUUGGUGGAGUUCUGCGCCUCCUCCAUGAAGGAGUCCCCUCUAGACCAUCUCUUCAGAGAAAGUUAGACUCCCUGAGCAGGGCCAAUAGGAACUCUGUUCCCCACGGCAUCUAGUGAUCUCCCUGUGUCUCCAACACCUCUUGUGGGGCAGAAGAGGAGGGACAGUAUGUGUGGGAAGGGUUCAAGUACCGCUGCUGUGGGCUAUCCAUGGCAAUGACAACCUGGUGUGGUGUGUCCACCCAGCCCUUCUUCCUGUUAGAGAGGAGCCCCUGUCCGACCCAUGAGGCUCCACCCAAAGCCCCUCCUCUGCCCCCAAGGGCCUACCUCUCAGCUGUCUUCGGCAAGAGAACAAAGAAAAGUCAAUUACAGGUACCUUUUCCUUCAGCCUUCGCCUCAGCCUGUCUUUGGAGGACUGGAGCAGGGUGAUUUUGGGCCGCUCCCCGAGCUGCUCCUCGGGAAGAACAGUGUCUUUAUGCUUUAUCUCAGCCUCCGGCCCCCCUGGCGGCUGAGGGGUUGGUCUCUCGGAAGCCGCUGGGGUCAGAGUGUCAGGGCUGCAGGGGGGCUCAAGGCCACCGUGUCCGGUGUCCCCUGGGCCGUCUUCAAGUUUGGGGUUCUCAACGGUCACAGUCUCUUUGGCGUUGCGGUGGCUGCCUGCUUCUCCCUUGUCUCCCGGUGGAUGUUUCAUGUUGCCGUGAUGCCAGCGUCGGUUCUGGCUGUAGCCGUGGUGCGUGGGCCUCCCUGAGGGGUGGGGCCCCGAGCCCCCCUGGUAAGAUUUCUGGUGGUCCCUGUUGUGUUUGGCACUGCCUGGCUGAUGGUCACCAUGCUGUUGCGGCUUGUUCCCUCCUGGAGGUCUUUGCUGCCGUCUACGAAGGAGAGUGGAGAGGUGGAGAAGAGGGGUUACAUAGUGAACUGGUAGGGUCCCUUCACCCAAACGCUGGAUCAUUUCAACAGUUAUCCUGACCCUCCUAUUAUCCAUCAGAGAGAAUGGAAGUUGAGAUUUCUCUAAAAAGCAGCAUUUCAUCCAUGGCACACGGUGUGCCCGUGUAUGUAAUACAGAACAAACAUCUAAAAGGACCAGCAGAAGAUGUGACGAGCCCUCCAGCCUCUGCCCCCCUCCUCCAGCUAUGUCCCUUGAAAGCAGCAUUAUCUGAUAACAUUCAUGCGUUGAAGCCCCCACUCCAUUUUUCAGAAUGGAGCCAACGGGGAUUUUAAAGAUAUGAGGUUGCCAGGGUGUGCCCCUGAAUCCAAGCCAACUUGGGUCCUUAUAACGAGAAGCAGUCUGUACACACACAAAGAUGCCACCCGUGCCGAGGCAUCCGUUGUCAUCUGCAAACCGAGAGUGAGGUCUCAGGAGAGCCCCACUGUGCUGACAUCUCUGCACGUUUGGGCAGCUCGGGGAUAGUGCUUUGUGAACAGAAGAGUCAGUGGCAGAGCUGAGCUCUGUGCCAGGAACAAAGAUGGGAAGGUCUUGCUGCAUGGUUGGAAGGCAGGGGCAGGGGCAGGGGCAGGCGUAGGGGCAGGCGCAGGCGCAUGGGUACGAGGCACUGUCUUACCACUCACAGUACUAUGGCCAGUCUCGGUCCGUCCCAGGCUGCCUUCUGAACCCUGGGGUCACUAGAGGUACAGCUGAGAAUAAAUAUGUGCCCCUUAAAAUAGGUACAGUGGUACAGAAACCAAGAGAAAGCCAUUACAGUUUCAAGAAUGAACCCACACCUUGGGAUCUACCUCGGGUCUCACAGCCUUAACUUCAAUUACCCUUUAUAAACAAAUCAGACUUACAUC
rnacentral:lncRNA from 1 species